GACUCAUCGUAGCAGCUCAGAGUACCUGUUCCAUCAUAAAUGGUGCUUAAAUUUUGGCGUAUAGAAGAGCUUUAGGAGGAGUUUCAGAAAAUUUCUGAGUAUUAGGGAGCAGGAGCUCAGAAUGUGUGCAUCCAGCCAUCUGAGAUCAUCUGAGGUGUUCUCUACAGAGAAAGUGUCUGUGAUCUCUGGCUGGGAGAGAGUCACCUGUCCGGUAUUGUACUUCCUACCCUCUUCCUGGCACCAUUGUUACACGUGUCAGUCCCCACUAGAAGCUAUCCAGCAACAGGGGUUUUUCUCUGCUUCCGUUUUCCUUUUUUGUUGAAGAAAGGAUAAGAGCCACGGCAAGUGAAGAAGGAGUUUCUUUCCAGCUUGAUCCUACAUCUGUUUAGCCCCAAAUAAACACACAG